rnacentral:rRNA from 1 species
AUUGAACGCUGGCGGCAGGCCUAGCACAUGCAAGUCGAACGGUAACAGGAAGAAGCUUGCUUCUUUGCUGACGAGUGGCGGACGGGUGAGUAAUGUCUGGGAAACUGCCUGAUGGAGGGGGAUAACUACUGGAAACGGUAGCUAAUACCGCAUAACGUCGCAAGACCAAAGAGGGGGACCUUCGGGCCUCUUGCCAUCGGAUGUGCCCAGAUGGGAUUAGCUAGUAGGUGGGGUAACGGUUCACCUAGGCGACGAUCCCUAGCUGGUCUGAGAGGAUGACCAGCCACACUGGAACUGAGACACGGUCCAGACUCCUACGGGAGGCAGCAGUGGGGAAUAUUGCACAAUGGGCGCAAGCCUGAUGCAGCCAUGCCGCGUGUAUGAAGAAGGCCUUCGGGUUGUAAAGUACUUUCAGCGGGGAGGAAGGGAGUAAAGUUAAUACCUUUGCUCAUUGACGUUACCCGCAGAAGAAGCACCGGCUAACUCCGUG